rnacentral:rRNA from 1 species
GACGAACGCUGGCGGCGUGCUUAACACAUGCAAGUCGAGCGGAGCGGCGAACGGGUGAGUAACGCGUGAGUAACUGACCCCCUCUCUGGGAUCACAGUUGGAAACGGCUGCUAAUACCGGAUAGUGGGGGAUGACUCGGGUCCUAUCAGCUUGUUGGUGGGGUAGUGUCCUACCAAGGCGACGACGGGUAGCCGGCCUGAGCGGGGGACCGGCCACCUUGGGCUGCGAGAGGGCCCAGACGCGUACGGUAGGCAACAGUGGGGAAUAUUGCGCAGUGGGGCAGAGUGUGUUGAGAAGACGCCGGGUGCGGAAUGACGGCUUUGGGGUUGUAAACCGCUUUCAGUCAAGACGCGUUAGUUGCAGAAGAAGCACCGGCUAACUACGUGCCAGCCGCCGCGGUAAUAC